rnacentral:rRNA from 1 species
UACAGAGGGGGCAAGCGUUAUUCGGAAUUAUUGGGCGUAAGGCGCGUAGGCGGCCUUGCAAGUGACGGGUGAAAUCCCUCGGCUUAACCGAGGAACUGCCUGUCAAACUGCGAGGCUUGAGACCGGGAGAGGUGAGUGGAAUUCCCAGUGUAGCGGUGAAAUGCGUAGAUAUUGGGAGGAACACCAGUGGCGAAGGCGGCUCACUGGACCGGUAUUGACGCUGAGGCGCGAAAGCCAGGGAGCAAAGCGGG